rnacentral:lncRNA from 1 species
GAUAUUGAAUAUGAUGUGAUGUAAAGCCACUCGCACCCCCUUCUAUCCUUUCAAAGCCCACAUCCUCUCUCUCCCAUCUCUUUUCCUCUCUCUUCCAUUCAAAAUUCAUAUCAUCUCUUUUUCAUCACCUUGUUCUUCUCUUCUCUCUCCCUUUUAAAACCCUAGCUAACUACUAUUCCAACCCCCAAAUCUUUCUUCUCCUCUCUCUCCCAUCAUCUUCUUCUUCUCCUCUCUCUUUUCAAAACCCAUCUCCUCUUUGCUGCCCCCACCCCCCACC